CAUUCACUAUGGUAUUUGCUAUCUUUAGAACUAUGUAUUAUUUCUUUCUCUACAAUGUUGUCGCUUUUACAGGGAGUAAAAGCACGAAAAUAUUUAUAUGACAUGAACAAACUUGCUUGAUGACAACUUUGCUCAGUCAAAUACUUAUUAUCUAUCAAUUACGUAUUUACAGAAGUCUUGAUUUGAACUACAUUUAUGCGUUUAUUUGCUAAACCUAGUCUUCCCCAAUGUUGUUUUCUUCUUAUUUCAGACAUCCUAAUGUAAUUAUAUUGACAACAUCGAACAUAACUAGAGCCAUAGACGUUGCGUUCGUGGACAGAGCCGACAUCAAACAGUAUAUUGGUCCGCCAUCAGCCAAAGCUAUUUACAAAAUUUACCAUUUGUUUCUUUGUCGACAACGAUGUAACACACUGUAGUCUUGAAUUAAAGAAGAUAGCCGA